rnacentral:misc_RNA from 1 species
GGAAGGAUCAUAGUUAUCGAGGGCGCAAGCCCGUCUCGCAACCAUGCGUCAUGCGUCGUGUUAUCCCUCUCGGGACACACGUAAAAGAAGCGAACAUGCACAGAGUAUGCCUCUUACGAAAACAAACAAAGAAAUCACAACCGGUAGCGUUGGAUCCCUUGGCACGUUGAUCGAUGAAGACCGUUGCAAACUGCGAUAAGUGGUGUGAUGCGCAAGUCUAAAACUUAUAAGUGAAUCAUCGAAUCGUUGAACGCACGACACCGGCUCUAUCCGAGCAGGUAUGCCCCUUUGAGCGCCAUUAUGCCUUCGGCAGCAUCCGGAUUUCGGUCCGCGAUGCCCGGGUUCGAGGUCCACCGUGCGUCCGCGCACGGCGUUCCUUCAGAUGCAUUGGAAGGGAAGAGGCCACGCCGGAACCCAUCCGUGUCAUGAGACAUGCACGGAAAGGACCGCAGCGCCGAAGCCCGGGACGUGUCCGCAGCGAGACCGUCCAGACGCACCUUCGCGGUGAAAACCAUCGAAUGUGGCCUCACUGGGGUAAGACUACCCGCUAGACUUAAGCAUAUUAAUCAGCGGAGGAAAAGAAACUAACUAGGAUUCCCUCAGUAACUGCGAGUGAAGCGGGAUGAGCUCAAUGUGUGAAUCUGGCAGGGUGUACCCCCUUGCCCGAGUUGUGCACUAUAGACGCUGGAUCUGCACAUGCGUUCCUAAUGGCGGAAGUCCGAUGAAACACGGCACCGUGGAAGGUCACAGUCCUGUCCCUGCCUCUUAGGACGCGUGCUUACGACCGGCGCUCUGCGAGUCGCGUAGUUUUGUAUUGCUGCGCUAAUCGGGAGGUAGAGCCCUUCUAAAGCUAAAUAUUGCAACGUGACCGAUAGCACACAAGUACCGCGAGGGAAAGGUGAAAAGCAACUAUGAAGAAUAGGUUGAAACAGUAGUGAAAGCGUUACCGGGAUAAGGGCUGUUGGAUGUUAGGGCCGAUGGCACGUGCUUCAGUGCUGUGCCGUAGGACGGCCCACGCGGGUUCGGAUGCCGGGAAAAGCGCCUUGGGAAUUCGGCCGCUCCGGCGGUGUUGCAGCCCGAGUGCGAACGGACCGGCUUCGGACCCUCUCGUGGGUCUUGCGGACGUCAGCCUCCCGUCUUGAAACACGGACCAAGGAGUGUACCUUGCGUGCGAGUCGAAGGGACUGUAAUCCCGGAGGCGUAGCGAAAGCGAUGCUCAUGAAGUCCUCACGGACGCCAGUGGCACCCGGACUUGUCCGAGGUAGAGCACGUAGGGUGCGACCCGAAAGAUGGUGAACUAUGCCUGGGCAAGGUGAAGCCAGUGGAAACGCUGGUGGAGGCCUGUAGCGAUUCUGACGUGCAAAUCGAUCGUGUGACCUGGGUAUAGGGGCGAAAGACCUAUCGAACCGUCUAAUGGCUGGUUCCCCC